UUAAUGUCUAUCAAAAGCGAAGUUACAAAAAUUAUAGAUUUUGAAGAGAUUCUGAAUCAAUUUAUGCAUGAAAAAUCAAGGAAAAAAAAUAUACUAAUUUUGAUACAUAUUGUUGGCAACAUUGCUACAGCAAGAAUGAAGACAUUGAUACACUUUUGCAUUAUGAAAUACACAAUUUGGCAGUUUCUUGCCCACUGUCACCUAAAUACAGGCAGUUCUCGAUGACAAGAUCUUAUGAUCUUCUGCAAAUAUCUGCGUUCUUCUUAUUUUAACGCUAACAAAGCUUGUAACUUUUACUAUAUGUAUUUUAUGAAUCUUAUUCAUUCUUAUAUUGUAAAACUUAGUUUGAAUAAAUAAAAAGAACAAAAAGAAAAAAAAAAAAUCAA